rnacentral:lncRNA from 1 species
ACUGAACAAAGGCCUCAACUGGAUCUAUUCAGAGGAGGUAGAGGGGAAAGCUCUCCCAGGAUGUGAGACCCCUGUGGCUGGAAGGUAGCUGUGACCUGGAAUCCACGUCACCUGUAGGUGAAAGGCAGCCGGUAGGAUGGGGUGUAUCUCCUUCCCAGGCUUCACCAAAGGCCUUCCAGACCAGCCUAACAACCUCUAAGUGCCUGGGGAACUGGCAGAGUGGCAUUCCAGGACUGUGACACUGGG